rnacentral:rRNA from 1 species
AGAGUUUGAUCAUGGCUCAGAACGUACGCUGGCGGCACGCCUAACACAUGCAAGUCGAACGCAGUAGCAAUACUGAGUGGCAAACGGGUGAGUAUAAUGUGGGAAUCUGCCUUUUGGUUUGGAAUAACACGGGGAAACUUGUGCUAAUACCGAAUAAGCCCUUACGGGGAAAGUUUUAACGCCGAAAGAUGAGCCUGCACUUGAUUAGCUAGUUGGUAAGGUAAAAGCUUACCAAGGCAACGAUCAAUAGCUGUUCUUAGAGGAAGACCAGCCACAUUGGGACUGAGACACGGCCCAGACUCCUACGGGAGGCAGCAGUGGGGAAUCUUGCACAAUGGGGGAAACCCUGAUGCAGCGAUGCCGCGUGAGUGAAGAAGCCCUUGGGUUGUAAAACUCUUUCGUCGGGGAAGAAAAUGACUGUACCCGAAUAAGAAGGUCCGGCUAACUUCGUGCCAGCAGCCGCGGUAAUACGAAGGGACCUAGCGUAGUUCGGAAUUACUGGGCUUAAAGAGCUCGUAGGUGGUUAAAAAAGUUGAUGGUGAAAUCCCAAGGCUCAACCUUGGAACUGCCAUCAAAACUUUUUAGCUAGAGUGUGAUAGAGGUAAGUGGAAUUUCUAGUGUAGAGGUGAAAUUCGUAGAUAUUAGAAAGAACACCAAAUGCGAAGGCAACUUACUGGAUCACUACUGACACUGAGGAGCGAAAGCAUGGGUAGCGAAGAGGAUUAGAUACCCUCGUAGUCCAUGCCGUAAACGAUGUGUGCUAGACGUUGGAAAUAUAUUUUUCAGUGUCGCAGCGAAAGCAUUAAGCACACCGCCUGGGGAGUACGACCGCAAGGUUAAAACUCAAAUGAAUUGACGGGGACCCGCACAAGCAGUGGAGCAUGUGGUUUAAUUCGAAGAUACGCGCAGAACCUUACCAACACUUGACAUGUUCGUCGCGAGACUAAGAGAUUAGUCUUUUCAGUUAGGCUGGACGAAACACAGGUGCUG